UACGAAGGGGGCGAGCGUUGUUCGGAGUUACUGGGCGUAAAGGGCGCGUAGGCGGCCUGUUAAGUCGAACGUGAAAUCCCCGGGCUCAACCCGGGAACUGCGUCCGAUACUGGAAGGCUUGAAUCCGGGAGAGGGAUGUGGAAUUCCAGGUGUAGCGGUGAAAUGCGUAGAUAUCUGGAGGAAUACCGGUGGCGAAGGCGGCAUCCUGGACCGGCAUUGACGCUGAUGAGCGAAAGCUAGGGGAGCAAACGGG
rnacentral:rRNA from 1 species